rnacentral:piRNA from 1 species
UGACAGCAUUGUCUUCUGAGUCAGCUCCU